CCUACGGGAGGCAGCAGUAGGGAAUCUUCCACAAUGGGCGAAAGCCUGAUGGAGCAACGCCGCGUGAGUGAUGAAGGCCUUCGGGUUGUAAAACUCUGUCAUUCGGGACGAACCGGAGUCUGAGGAAAUGCAGACUCUCUGACGGUACCGGAGGAGGAAGCCCCGGCUAACUACGUGCCAGUAGCCGCGGUAAUACGUAGGGGGCAAGCGUUGUCCGGAUUCACUGGGCGUAAAGCGCGCGCAGGCGGUGAUGUAAGUCUGAGGUGAAAACCCGAAGCUCAACUUCGGGACUGCCUUGGAUACUGCGUCACUUGAGGAUAGGAGAGGCAAGGGGAAUUCCACGUGUAGCGGUGAAAUGCGUAGAGAUGUGGAGGAACACCUGUGGCGAAGGCGCCUUGCUGGCCUAUUUCUGACGCUGAGGCGCGAAAGCGUGGGGAGCAAACAGGAUUAGAUACCCUGGUAGUCCACGCUGUAAACGAUGAGUGCUAGGUGUAGGUGGGCUCAUACCCAUCUGUGCCGAAGCUAACGCAUUAAGCACUCCGCCUGGGGAGUACGGUCGCAGACUGAAACUUAAAUGAAUUGACGGCUGAGGAGNGCGAGGCGACGACGAGGGGAGUAGG
rnacentral:rRNA from 1 species